rnacentral:rRNA from 1 species
UACAGAGGUCCCGAGCGUUGUUCGGAUUCAUUGGGCGUAAAGAGUGCGUAGGCGGCGGGGCAAGUCUGAUGUGAAAUCCCGGGGCUCAACCCCGGAACUGCAUUGGAUACUGCCUUGCUUGAGUACUGGAGAGGGAACUGGAAUUUACGGUGUAGCAGUGAAAUGCGUAGAGAUCGUAAGGAAGGCCAGUGGCGAAGGCGAGUUCCUGGACAGUGACUGACGCUGAGGCACGAAGGCCAGGGGAGCAAACGGG